rnacentral:rRNA from 1 species
GCUGGUAUUUAUUACGGUGAGGCCCCACCCGUUCCCAUCCCGAACACGGAAGUUAAGCUCACCUGUGCCGAAGAUACUUGGCGGGAAGCUGCCUGGAAAAAUAGGUCUUUGCCAGCA